GCGAGGGUCGCCGAGCCUGGUCAAAGGCGCUAGAUUGAGGGUCUAGUCUCGUAGGAGUUCGAGGGUUCGAAUCCCUUCCCUCGCA
rfam:Methanococcus voltae A3, complete genome.